UUGUCAACUCGGUGAACUUUCUCGAGAGAGCACCGGGCAGCUUCUCUCGCCUCUCUCCUUCCCCCUUGUCUCUCACUGGCCUCUGGGUCGCUUCCAAAAGGUUGCUUCCUUCGAGUUUUCCCUGUGAAGCUUCACCUUGGCGUGGUCCACACGGAAGGCAGAAUCAACCCCACUCACAGAUUCCCAAAGGGUCGAGUUUGGACAGUACUCCGGAGCAACGUUUUUGCUUUUGCUUUUUUUUUUCUUCAACUCCUAUCCAGUGUUUGAUCUAUCAACAUCCUGCAACUUUGGAAAUUUCACUUUAUGAUUCACGAGUACCUGGAAUCUGCAGAGGAUUUUCGCUGUUAGGAGGAAAGGUAACUGCUUCUCCACUUGAUGCCAUUUCCACUUACAAACGGUUUCAGGGGACCGCUCUGCUUUCGGACACUGAGAAAAACGCCCUGCCGUCUCGGUCUCAACCGCCGUCUCUCCUCCAAUAGGGAAGUCACUGUCUUCUGAUGAAGCCACGUUGACUUGCAGGUCUUGGAUGAUUCAAAAAAAAGAUCUUUCCAUCUCUGGACUUCCAGCUAGGCCUAAACAGAAAACAUGACCUUUUCAGAAAAGACGUUUAUUCAAGGUUUAAACCCAGUGGGUGGGCAUCAACAGAAUCAGGUGUGCUAACAGCACGCCCUGUGUCUGGAGAGGAUACCAGCCCUGCAAAUAAAGGAAGAACCCAGAAGACCAGAUCCGAAUCUCGAAGAGCCCUCGAGGAGCCAUGCUCCCAUCACUCCCUGCCGUCUCCGCUGCCUUCUUAGGAGUUUGAAUUAUGAGGUUAAGUACUUGAAUCAACCAUACUUUUCAGUGAUCUUCCAGUGGAAACCCUUCUGGACCGAAUACCACCAAAGGGAGCCUCUGUGCCUGGGUUGGUGGUGAAGGGUCAUGGAGUUGCCGUUUUUAGAGUCAGCUUCCCAAGUCCGCGGGGCACCCCAUGCUUUGCUUCUUGUUGCCUUUCCAGUUGGGUGCUUCCCUGAAGGAUACCUAGUAGCUUGCACCUGACCUGAAUACCAGUCACAGCAGCCUCCUCAGCUAGAGCCAUUCUUAAUGUAUCCAUCCGUCCAACACAUAUUUCCUGAGCUCCUACUGUGUGCGGUGCUGCAGCGAUGUGGUCAACAACAGUCCUGUCUCUGCUUUCAGGACAUUCACAGUGCAGUAGAGGGGAAAAGACAGUGUUUAAAGGACCAAGGAUGAAAUUCAAAUUGAUGCAGAUUGAAUUCCCCUCGGAAAACUUCCCUCUGGCUCCAGAGAAUGGACUAGGGGCUGGGGGAGGGGCGCCACUCUCUGCCACCUGCUACCAUUCUGUGUGACACCGCUAGCACUCAGUCACCCUCUUUUUUAAUUUCCUGCAAGCACCGCAUACACGUGCCCUGAAAGGCCUGCGUUUGUUUUCUUUUCCCCCCGGUGGCCAAUCUGCCUUUACAACACAGAAUGGAAGCUUCAUGUAGGGAGGCACUUCCUCCAGUUUGCAGAAUUCCUGGAACCAAGAGGGAGCCCUGUCUUCUUUGUUGAGCCCAUGAGGGACUUGUCCCUUAAACUCCAGUAAGGCAGGAAUGCUAGAAGCACCUGGGAGAAGGCACGUGGGAAUUCCGAGAGGCAGUGGGAGGCCCCUGUACCUGGUGGGAAAGCCCUGCUGGCCUGAGCUGUUGUCACUCAAGGGGCUCCGGUCUGCUCCCUAGGAAUCCCUGGGGGAUUUGGAAAGAAGACCUUUCUUUGUUGUCGUAAUUUAAUUGCUGGUUAGCACUUCCAUCCAAGUUCAGCGAUAACUUCUGGAAUUUGCACCUGAAGAACUUUUUUCUUCUUUCAUGCUCCANCCCCCCCCCCCCCCCCCCCCCCCACUGCUCUCUUCCCAGAAAUGGGUGCCUGGCCGAAAACCCAUGUACUUAGCAGUUGGCUGUGGCAGCACAUGAGUAAUCUCCCACCUUCAUCAAGGAAGGAAGAAAUGGAAAACUUGAUCCCCAGGUGGCUUCGCAGGAACUGGAAAAAAAAAAAAAAAAAAAAAAAA
rnacentral:lncRNA from 1 species